GACGAACGCUGGCGGCGUGCUUAACACAUGCGGGUCGAACGGAAAGGCCCUGCUUGUGUGGGGUGCUCGAGUGGCGAACGGGUGAGUAACACGUGAGUAACCUGCCCUUGACUUUGGGAUAACUUCAGGAAACUGGGGCUAAUACCGGAUAGGAGCUCCUGCUGCAUGGGGGGGGGUGGAAAGUUUCGGCGGUUGGGGAUGGACUCGCGGCUUAUCAGCUUGUUGGUGGGGUAGUGGCUUACCAAGGCUUUGACGGGUAGCCGGCCUGAGAGGGUGACCGGCCACAUUGGGACUGAGAUACGGCCCAGACUCCUCCGGGAGGCAGCAGUGGGGAAUAUUGCACAAUGGGCGGAAGCCUGAUGCAGCAACGCCGCGUGCGGGAUGACGGCCUUCGGGUUGUAAACCGCUUUCGCCUGUGACGAAGCGUGAGUGACGGUAAUGGGUAAAGAAGCACCGGCUAACUACGUG
rnacentral:rRNA from 1 species